rnacentral:ncRNA from 1 species
CGAGCCGGGACGGGAGAGCCCCCAGCAGCACCGGGGGCACCGAAGGAGCAAGCUCCCCGCCAAUCUCUCAGGUACAGCUACCGCCCCUGGCCA